rnacentral:pre_miRNA from 1 species
CCUGAGCUAUACAGUAGUACUCACGUUUAAAGUUUGAUCGUUUGUCUUAUUUAAAAAUUUUUUAUACUAUUAUUUUUAUUGCUAUUAUAUGAUAAAAUAUAAAUAAUAUUUUAUGUGUGACUAAAUAUUUUUAGAUUUUUCAAAUAACACGAACAGUCAAAUGUUGGACAUAGAUAUCUACGGCUGUAUUUAUU